rnacentral:rRNA from 1 species
CCUACGGGUGGCUGCAGUGGGGAAUAUUGGGCAAUGGGCGCAAGCCUGACCCAGCAACGCCGCGUGAAGGAAGAAGGCUUUCGGGUUGUAAACUUCUUUUGUCAGGGACGAAGCAAGUGACGGUACCUGAUGAAUAAGCCACGGCUACCUACGUGCCAGCAGCCGCGGUAAUACGUAGGGGGCAAGCGUUAUCCGGAUUUACUGGGUGCAAAGGGCGUGAAGGCGGGACUGUAAGUCAGAUGUGAAAACCACGGGCUCAACCUGUGGCCUGCAUUUGAAACUGUAGUUCUUGAGUACUGGAGAGGCAGACGGAAUUCCUAGUGUAGCGGUGAAAUGCGUAGAUAUUAGGAGGAACACCAGUGGCGAAGGCGGUCUGCUGGACAGCAACUGACGCUGAGGCGCGAAAGCGUGGGGAGCAAACAGGAUUAGAUACCCUUGUAGUC